rnacentral:lncRNA from 1 species
CGUGCCCAGAAAAACUCAGGUUCGGCGGCCUAAGCUUAGAGUUCGGCGGCCGAACCAUUUGAGGUGAAGAAACUAUUCCUUUAAAAAAGAACUUUCGGCGGCCUAAAGUCAGAGUUCGGCGGCCGAACUUGGGUGACUUUCGUCUCUGUUCCUCUCUUUCGGAAGCCGAACUUUUGGCUUCGGAGGCAGACUUAAAACAUACUUUCGGCGGCCGAAGGUUAAAAGUUCGGCGGCCGAAAGUGCG